rnacentral:tRNA from 1 species
GGUGUUGCUCAGUGGCAGAGCAUGUGUUUACCAUGCACAAGAUCCUGGUUCAAUUGCUGGCACC